GGGCUCUUAGCUCAGCUGGUAGAGCGCGUCCCUUGCAAGGACGAGGCCGCGAGUUCGAAUCUCGCAGAGUCCA
rnacentral:tRNA from 1 species